rnacentral:lncRNA from 1 species
GUUGACCGAAGUACAUUUUGUAUGAAGCGCGGAAGCGCUUCAUUCUAAAAAUGUGCGCACGGUCAACGCUUUUACAACCCUAUAAAGUUACAAAAAGAAGCAUUCAAUACUUAUAAUUACAUUUUUUAGCUAUGAUCAUGAAAACACGAAUUUUAUAUAUUUUUUAUUUAAUUCACCUGUGCACUUUAUUGUUGGACCACGUGUUAUCAUGAAUGAAAAGUUGUAUUGAGCAAUGCAACUGCUUACGGAAUAACACGUGAUGUGCAGUUAGCCAAU